CCUUCGAUAGCUCAGUUGGUAGAGCGGAGGACUGUAGUGUACUAAAUGUUGGCAAUCCUUAGGUCGCUGGUUCGAUUCCGGCUCGAAGGA
rnacentral:tRNA from 1 species